UGUGUGAGCAAACUUUUUCGCCAAAGCAAUUGGCGUUGUUUAAACAAAAGCUAUUGUUAGAGGAAGCCAUUUUCUGUAUUUGGCUGCGCGGGAUUUUAUAUUUUAUCAUCAUAAAAGUUUUAAUUACAGGUGAUUCCCUGGAGAAGUAUUUGGCUAAUUACUUAAAUGCUGAAUGAAAAUGGGAUAUCGAUGUUUGCACACCCUGGAAUCGGUGUGGACAAAUUAAGUGUGCAGUUGUGAAGGGACGAUUGUGUUUUUGUCUUAAUUCAUGUUG